rnacentral:rRNA from 1 species
AGGACUAACGCUGGCGGCGUGCCUAACACAUGCAAGUCGAACGGGGUAGCAAUACCCAGUGGCAGACGGGUGAGUAACACGUGGUCAACCUACCUCUGUGUGGGGGAUAACUAGCCGAAAGGUUAGCUAAUACCGCAUACGAUCGUUUUGAGGCAUCUCGAGACGAUGAAAGGAGCAAUCCGCACGGAGAGGGGACUGCGUCCCAUUAGUUAGUUGGUGGGGUAACGGCCUACCAAGACUCCGAUGGGUAGCUGGCUUGAGAGAGCGACCAGCCACACUGGAACUGAGAAACGGUCCAGACUCCUACGGGAGGCAGCAGUGAGGAAUUUUUCCGCAAUGGGCGAAAGCCUGACGGAGCGACGCCGCGUGUGGGAUGAAGGCCUUCGGGUCGUAAACCACUGUCGAAGGGGACGAUAAUGACGGUACCCUUGGAGGAAGCCCCGGCUAACUACGCGCCAGCAGCCGC